UGGCAGCAUGGACCAAUCCGCUUCAUUCUUUAUCCCGCAUCAUAAGCCCGGCCCGUUCACUAUAUAAACUAAAACCCAGCAGGCUCUGGAGUAGAUCUGCGAGACAGCAUCUGACGGUUGUGUAGCUGAACAGGAAACAGGAAGCAGGUGACUAUGAAGGCGAUCAGUCCAGUGCUGCCGAUGCGAAGGACUCACGUGAACUCGCACGCGCAGGAUCUCGGGAUCUGGAGAAGUAAGAGCGCGUGGGAUGAGCCGCUCGGUGUGCUGUGCGACAUGAACGACUGCUACAGCCGCCUGAAGGAGCUGGUGCCCAGCCUGCCGCAGGACCGGAGCGUCAGUAAGAUGGAGAUCCUGCAGCAUGUCAUCGAUUACAUCCUGGACCUUCAGAUCGCGCUGGACUCCAGCACGGCUAAUGCGAGUCCACAGCCGCAGCGGCGUCCUGCUCAAGCAGGCGUUUCCUCCAGCACUGAAGCCGACAUCAGCUCGUGUCAGAUUACUACGUAAAUCAAUUAUACAACAACUCAGGAUCCAACUCAUAACACACCAGAAGAAAUUAGCAAAUGAAAUUUGCACUUGAGAGAGGUGUAAAUCUCUCCUGUUUGGACAACAGGGUGUGACGAUAUCCUGAAGCAUCCACCAUAUCAACAUCAUUGAAUAUCAUGAUAUAGAUGGUUAUCUGCACGAGCCUGAUUGACAUAGAAAUUUAUUCUGGCUCAUGCAAAAUCAGAAAACAACAUAAAAAAUGGAACAAGUUACAGAAGAUAUAAAGGAGCCUGUAAACGUGUCCAUCUGUAAACUCGUGUGGAAGUGACAGCAGGAGAAGGCAAGUCUAAGAACCAGCAUGAAGGAUGUGUGCAUGUUCAUGUUCAAGGCAGAGUGUAUUGCAGUUUGUCAUAGUAGCUAGAACUGAAGAGAAAGCACAUGCAUGUGUGGAAAAUUGCUCUAAGGACAAUUUAUUUCCAUGUGUUGUGGGUUUUUUUCCCCACCAGAUAAGCCACUUUGCAAGAGAAACGAACACAGAUGAGCAGAUAACGAUCUGAAGCGGUGUUUCUCUGGAGCAAAAACAGGACCCUCUUCCCUCUUUUUUUUUUUUGUUGUUAUCCUUCCGUGUACUUUCGCCUGGACUUCGUCUUGACUGACACGGAUUUCCCUCAAACGGAGAUAAACCAUUCUGUAUGUCUGAUUUAUAUUUAUCUGCAGGCCAUACAUGACCUUUCUUCCAAAGGAAGACCUCAUUACAGGACUGAGAGAACCAGUUGUUUAAAAAAAAGAAAGGAUAAUGAACAGAAGGGGGGAACGCCUUUUGUGAAGGUGUCAAACUGCAGGCUCGGUGUGAUCAGAGAGCUCAGAUGAUCAGCAGUGCUGAGGGAUUAACAGAUCAUAUUUGGCUGUAACACUUACUAUAACAUGCAAAGUGUCACCUUCAUUUCAGACUUUAACCUGUUCUUUUAACAGAAUUUAUGCAGCACCAUUCUCUAUUUAGACUUUUAGUGAUAUUUUUUUUUUCUAAAGCCAUUCCUGAGCCAGUAGAGGGCACUGCAGCUGAUCUACUACUCUACUCCAUUCAGACAUUUAGCCUUAGGCCUACAUUAUUUUUUAAAAAUAAUAUAAACCACCAUAUUACGGUUUUUAGAAGCAAGCUGAGAAGUUUUGUGUUUUAUCAUGACAUUUAAAUAAUAUUCUAUUAAUAUAGCCUUUCAGUACCAUUACCAUUAUUGUACAUUUAGCCAUUUAUCCCCUUCGGGGUGAGGGUUAGUUCAACUAAUCAUAAGUAUUAAGAACAUGUUACCUGGUACAGGAAUAAAUAUUAGAACUUUCAAAAUCCUCCCCAGCACUGAUGAUCCAUCCCUACAUGGGCAUGAGAUGAACUGUGUGUGUAUGUGAAUGAAUGUUAAAGCAGGGUGAACAGUAAAGGUUCACAGCGUGCCAUUCCUGUAAAGCGCAUCAAUGUUUUUCUUUAAUUCUGCUGGAAUGUGAUGUUAGUAAUGCCAAAUGAUUUUCUAUAAAUUAUGUAAAUUGCACUUUUAUAUGAAAUAAAUUAAUUAUGAUGUAGACU